rnacentral:lncRNA from 1 species
AUUGUUAUUAUUAGUAGUAGUAAUAGUAGUUGUAGUUGUUGUGCUAAUAAUUUCAGCAAGUGGCUUAAAAAAUCACCUGUGUGAAAUUAUCAUAAAUAAUGCAUAAUGCUACUACUACUACUACUACUACUACUACUACUACUACUAAUAAAUCUAUCGAGCUAGAAAAUUUCUUAAUACUAUAAAUAUUUCACAUACUUUUGAAACUCCAGUGUUUAGUUGAUCCUGAUAAGCGCUUGUCGUCACAGUUGUAAACACUGCGGCUUGGUUUGGCAUCACAGCAUCUUUGUUUCCGGACAGAACGUUAGUGAACGCGACACACGUCUCGCGGAACUCCUGUAGAAUUCAACCAAUCCGAUGAUGACUUCGACACUCCUGAAGUGUUUCCACUUUUGUGUCCCAUAUGCAUCCGAUGUUUAGCCAACAGUCCAUGGGGAGUGACGUCUGAGGCUGAGACUAAUGUCUUACUGUUCUUGACAGUCGUUUAGACAAUGGCCUCUAUUUGACCUCUGGAUCACUGUCAAGCUUCUGUCCAUUUUUGCAGUUAAACCUGUUGUGUUUAUACACUGUAUAAUGUGUUUAAUGUUAGUUCACUUAAGCUCUGUGUGUAUUUUAGGUAAGUCUGUGUGUGGAUAUGUCAAGUGUAAUCUCUGCAAGGUGAAUAUCCAUGUGUAUCAUUAGCUACUCUUUGUUUUAUUUUAUUUAUUUUUUCUUUUGUUGUCAUUUCAUUUUCCAUUUUUUUUUUUAUUAUUGCGGGAGCAUUGAAGAGCCAGAUGUUGGGAGGUGAUCCGAUGAGAGUUCUCGGUCCCCAGGGGUUGGUUACCAUAGCAGUUAACAUCCCCGCCUCUGCUCGCCCAUCUCUCUCACAAGGUUAUUUAAAAAAUUCUUUCCAAGUACCCAGUGAAACCUGCUAAAGUACCCUCUGGUGUAAACAUACCCCUGGUUGGGAAUCAACGAUGUGAUGGACAAACAAGCACAAACUUGGCGAUAUCUGCAUCAAAUCUCCCAGGUGUGUAUUUGUGUCUGCUAAAUAAAAUAAAUAGUA